GUUCAUUAAACAAAAUAAUAGAGCCAACAAAAUGUUGUUCCCAUCAAACUGGAAUAUUCAAAAAGUAUUACUGCUAAUACAAGAUUCCAAACAAACAUAAAAAAAAUACAAUAAAACUAAGUGAUUGUGAUACGUUCACUACUAUCCACAUCAACGUUUGAUCUGAUUGGCUUGGCUGGUGCCUCACUGUCACUAAUCG
rnacentral:lncRNA from 1 species